rnacentral:rRNA from 1 species
UGGCGGCGCGCCUAACACAUGCAAGUCGAGCGGGAAGCUUUUUAAGGAUUCUUCGGAUGAAUUAAAAAGUGGAGAGCGGCGGACGGGUGAGUAACGCGUGAGAAACCUGCCCUAUACAGGGGGAUAGCCAUUGGAAACGAUGAUUAAUACCCCAUAUGACCACAGUAUCGCAUGAUACAGCGGUGAAAACUCCGGUGGUAUAGGAUGGUCUCGCGUCUGAUUAGCUAGUUGGUGGGGUAACGGCCUACCAAGGCGACGAUCAGUAGCCGGCCUGAGAGGGUGACCGGCCACACUGGAACUGAGACACGGUCCAGACUCCUACGGGAGGCAGCAGUGGGGAAUAUUGCACAAUGGGCGAAAGCCUGAUGCAGCGACGCCGCGUGAACGAUGAAGGCUUUCGAGUCGUAAAGUUCUGUUCUUGGGGAAGAUAACGACGGUACCCAAGGAGAAAGCACCGGCUAAAUACGUGCCAGCAGCCGCGGUAAUACGUAUGGUGCAAGCGUUGUCCGGAAUUACUGGGCGUAAAGAGUUCGUAGGCGGUUAGAUUAGUCAGAAGUGAGAGGCUACGGCUCA